CUCUUUCAGAGUUUAAGUAUAGUUUUUAGGCAACACUCUGAGAGAAAAAUUCAUUUUCAGCAUACCUAAAAAUCCAAACUGGGCUGACUUUUCAGCAGCCUACCUUCAUGCCAGCUAAGCUGUAUCUCUUUAGAGAAUUACUGAGCACAAAAGUCCUGUUCCUACCCCAGAAAGAGCUGUGUUUCUCUAAUGGAUGGUACAAGUCUGCACGUCUCAGAGGAGUCUGUUCAGUUCACAAAGUGCUUUGAGAUUUCCAAAUACAGCUAUUAUUGAAAUGGCCAUUGUUAUUCUUGUUUUCAAUAGCUGCUGACCAUCAGGAGGAUUUUGAAGACAAGUACCAAGGAAGGAGUUGUGUUCCUGAGCAGAACUUUGCACGAGGACUCCAUUAUAUGUUUUGGUUCGUUAUCUCCUGACAUAACAGUUCUGUUGGCCCAGGAUGUGGUUUAUCUUAUCACAUAGAGAUGAUACCCUGUCAAGAUAUGCUCCAGUUUCUGGGAACAAUUGUUCUAUUGUGCUUGGAGAAUGCCUGGGACAACAUGCUAUUGCCCACUGGCAGAGCCUUACAGAAAUGUAGUCUGAAGGCUGAGAAAGACACCUGAACAUGAGUUUUGUAAAUUUGCUAAAGAGCCCCAAAGCGACAGAGGGUCUUGAGAUGAAGCUUCGGGUGCCAUCCCUUGAACUCAGUCAGCAAAGCAGAAUCUUACAUAAGAAGAUAAGAGCUGGGGAAGUCUCCUUAGCAGUGGGAUGCAACAGUAGGCAACUGUGCUGAUGGCUGUCCUUAACAGGGUCGUUUUGAACGGUCCCCUUGGUGCCCCCACAGCUUGUUGUAGAAGUUUUGUCUUCACCAUUCC
rnacentral:lncRNA from 1 species